rnacentral:lncRNA from 1 species
AACUGGGAUUCUUUUAUCCUUUGUUGCAAAAGUGUGGACACUUUUGACAGCUUGACAGAUUUUAACUCCAGAAGCACUUUAUGAAAUGGUACACUGACUAAUCCAGAAGACAUUUCCAGCAGUUUGCCAGUGGUUCCUCACUACACUGGUACUGAAAGUGUAAUCUCUUAGAGCCAAAAAACUGGAGAAACAGAUAUCCUGCAUCCUCUAACAAGUG